rnacentral:rRNA from 1 species
UCAAAAACAUUAACCUUUAGCCACAAACAAGUAUUAAAAGGGCAAACGCCUGCCCCAGUGAACAANUUAAACGGCCGCGGUACCCNUAACCGUGCAAAGGUAGCGAAAUCAUUUGUCUAUUAAUUGUAGACCUGUAUGAAAGGCAUAAUGAGGGNCCUAACUGUCUCUUAUAAUCAAUCAAUUAAACUGAUCUUUUAGUACAAAAGCUAAAAUACCAACAUAAGACCAGAAGACCCUGUGAAGCUUUAACUAACUUAUUAAACCCAAUGAUAACUACUUUCGGUUGGGGCGACCUUGGAAAAAAAAGAAACUUCCAAACAUGACUAAAACUCACAAAUAGGCCUACAAGCCGACAACGACCCAGCAUAGCUGAUAAUCGAACCAAGUUACUCCAGGGAUAACAGCGCUAUCUUCUUCAAGAGCCCAUAUCAAAAAGAAGGUUUACGACCUCGAUGUUGGAUCAGGACAUCCUAAUGGUGCAGCAGCUAUUAAGGGUUCGUUUGUUCAACGAUUAACAGUCCCACGUGAUCUGA